AGAAAAUGGUUUUGUCUUUGUCAGGUCGAUUAGGCAAGGCUAGUUUAGGUAGUGAGGAAAGAAAGAAAGAAACAAAGAGGAAGCUCGCCAGAUAAGACAGUUGCCAGCAAUCUCUUUCAAGAUUAAAUGGGUGUUUUGGUAAACAGUUCAUACAUUGGUUGAUAUGGGGCAUGAUGGGAUAGGAUCAGAAACCAUGUGGAGUUGGGACAAGAAGCUGGAGAAUCCUUGUAAAAUACUCAAUUUCUAAGGGUGGGGGAAGCUGCCCAGUUGGGGUCCCAAUUUGAAGACUGUGGGGUCCAUUCCACCAAGUGAUAUGAGGAAAUGUUUCUUUAUUUUCUUUGGCACGUGCACACUACUACUUCCACCAAGCUAGUAGUAAAUGGAUUAAUAGAAAAAAUCACAGUAUAAAGCUUACCUAAGAUAAUUAUUCUAUUCUAAGACCCUAUUAGAAGGCACCCGCACCCUUCUAUUUAUCUUUACAUAUCCAAUUCCAUGGGGUAGAUUCUCUGCAAACUUGUGACUAGCAAAGAGAAUGUAAGUAGAGAUUUUUGUGUGACUUGGUAGAAGAAAAUUUUUAAGGACAAUUUCAGAGAGUUUUAAGUGCAUUUAGUGUCACUUAGGUAAGCUCUUGAUUUUGGUACUUAAAAAUGGUCACCCCUAUUUAUAUAUGAGUCCACCUAGAAAGUUAGGAAAAACAACAAAUCCAAUGAAUUUUGAAUCAAUAUGGUUUAAUAUCUUCUGAAGAAGAAUAAAUAGUAAAACAAAAACGUUAAAUGCAUUUGGCAACAUUUGAACAUUUAAUUUAGUCUUGAAAUUUUGAGCAAUAAGUAUUAAUAACUCUCUUACAACCUUUAAUAUAAUAUUGUCCUUUUCUAAAUAAUCAGCCAUUUCUUUUCUAUUAGUAGGUGUAAGUAGAGGCCAAUAAACCCAUACACCAACGAAUCCAGCCAUGCAUAUCUUUAUAAUUAUAACAUAAAUUAAUCAAUAAAGACAUAUAUAUACAUAGA